GCAGAUUCCACAGCAUGUUGCCAUCAAAAGGACUUAGUAAGGAAUCUCAAAUGUGCUUUCCAGUACGAGAAAGAAGAAGUAAGCAAAAGAGGCCACACAGAAGAAUUUGUAGAUUUCAUUGAUACAGACUAUGGAAGAUAAUAUACGAAGAGCUCUAGUAUGUAUGCUUAUCUCAUUAUCUCCAUUUUCAGCUGUAGCCACUGUUCUGACCAGUAAGGAAAGAGCAAUUCCUGUAGAGCUAAAUAAACACCAGAUGUGUUUAGUAUAAAUCCAUCAAGAGCGAUCUGGAUCACUCCUGCCCCGCCACUUGCAUGGCAAAGAGGAAAGGCAGAAGAUUAGAUUGAUACUGACAACUCGUUCCCUGUGAAGGUGCCACGAUGUGGCAUUUAUUUGCAUCUACAUUGCAGUUCUCUUCAUCAAUCAGCUUUGCAGAGAUCACUGCUGCUGCUGGCCAUAUUGUUGCUAUGCUGACACUUCAUCCUUAAGUGCUGCUUGUGUAAUGGUACAGUACGUGCCCAUGACCAAAGUUUAAAUCAAAGUUUAAUCAUUACGGAAAGACAAACAUAUUUCCGCGACUGUGUAUCCUGCAAGUAAG